rnacentral:tRNA from 1 species
GGAGAUGUGCCAGAGAGGCUUAAUGGCACUGUUUCGAAAACAGAUGGCUCCUUACCGGGCACCGGGGUUCGAAUCCCUGCAUCUCCGCCA